rnacentral:rRNA from 1 species
CCUACGGGGGGCAGCAGUGGGGAAUAUUGCACAAUGGGGGAAACCCUGAUGCAGCGACGCCGCGUGAGUGAAGAAGUAUUUCGGUACGUAAAGCUCUAUCAGCAGGGAAGAAAAUGACGGUACCUGACUAAGAAGCCCCGGCUAACUACGUGCCAGCAGCAGCGGUAAUACGUAGGGGGCAAGCGUUAUCCGGAUUUACUGGGUGUAAAGGGAGCGUAGACGGCAGCGCAAGUCUGGAGUGAAAUCCCAUGGCUUAACCAUGGAACUGCGUUGGAAACUGUGCAGCUAGAGUGCAGGAGAGGUAAGCGGAAUUCCUAGUGUAGCGGUGAAAUGCGUAGAUAUUAGGAGGAACACCAGUGGCGAAGGCGGCUUACUGGACUGUAACUGACGUUGAGGCUCGAAAGCGUGGGGAGCAAACAGGAUUAGAUACCCUUGUAGUC